UGGCUCAGGAUGAACGCUAGCGACAGGCUUAACACAUGCAAGUCGAGGGGCAGCACGGGAGUAGCAAUACUUGGUGGCGACCGGCGCACGGGUGAGUAACGCGUAUGCAACCUACCUAUCAGAGGGGAAUAACCCGGCGAAAGUCGGACUAAUACCGCAUAAAACAGGGGCACCGCAUGGUGAUAUUUGUUAAAGAAAUUCGCUGAUAGAUGGGCAUGCGUUCCAUUAGGUAGUUGGUGAGGUAACGGCUCACCAAGCCGACGAUGGAUAGGGGAACUGAGAGGUUGGUCCCCCACACUGGUACUGAGACACGGACCAGACUCCUACGGGAGGCAGCAGUGAGGAAUAUUGGUCAAUGGGCGGGAGCCUGAACCAGCCAAGUCGCGUGGAAAAGGAAGAAGGAUCUAUGGUUACGUAAACUUCUUUUGCGAGGGGAAUAAAGUGCAGGACGUGUCCUGUUUUGUAUGUACCCUGAGAAUAAGGAUCGGCUAACUCCGUGCCAGCAGCUGC
rnacentral:rRNA from 1 species